UAAUAAUAAUAAUAAUAAAAAUAAAUAUAAUGAUAACGUUAAUGGACUACGAUAAUAAUAAUACUAAACAAUGAUAAUAAUGAUAAAAAUAAUUAUUAUUAUAAUAGUGAUGAAAAUAAUAAGAUAUACCUCGUAUGCGAUAGCUUAACACAUAUAUACCGUGUUUUUGGAAACUUUUAAAAUCUGAAAGAUUGAAGCGAAGUUAAUAACAAAUAAGAAAUAUGGUAAGGGAUAUAGAAUGUUGAUUUGUAAGUUAUUAACAUUGAGAUUUCAUCUUUAAUCGUCAUCAUUUUUAAGCAUGCUUGAGGUCCCGACAUCUAUUUCUGAAAACAGUGUCUUUAACACUUAAUUUUGACAAAACUAUUUAAUGUUCAAUUAGAAGACCCUAUUUUUUUUUAUAAUGUGGAACUUCCCCAUGAGAACUAUGUUAUUAUACCCUAUAGAAAAUAAAAAUUUUCAUUUUGACGAAAAUUAUGUUCUUGGUCGAGAUUAAUUCUCUAAAAGGGGUGUUUUCUACACAAAAAAAAACUGCACUUUGAUAUUUGAAAAGUGUACUCGUUACUUUACGAAACAACUAGUUCUACCCCCUUAAAUUUUGCAUUUUUCAAAACUCUUGAAAGCAGAACAUUUGGACCACAAACUUGCGAUUUUAGCUACCGCCGAAGCUGCAUUUAGCGCGCACAAAAACUGCACUUUGAAUCCUAAAAAUGACCGUUAUUUUAAAGCUUAUAACAGUUUUUUUUACUCGAAAAUCUGCACUCUUACGUGAAAAAAAAGGGGUGCAGUUUUUUUUUCACUCUUAAGGACCAUAUUUUACAUUAAAAAACAAACAUUUUAGGUUGAGAUAGCUCCUAGAAUCAAUCUCAGAUGAUUAAAGCUAAGCACAACUAAACAAAUAUAAGUUAAUUCAACGUUGAUCAACACAACUAAACAAAUAUAAGUUAAUUCAACGUUGAUCAAUCCAUGCCGAAUAAACAUUCACACAAAUACAAAGUUAGUAGAAUAAGAAGAAAGUGAAGGAGAAGGACUAGAUGCGGCCAAGUCCUUUGGGAAGGGACCGAUUUCUAAUAACGUAGACUCUGAUGGCGGACAGUCCUACAGCGGUUGACCCGACGCUUGGGUCAAAACGAGUUCCGAUGCGGAACUCCAACUCCCCGAUCCACAUGAAAAAAAAUAAAAGAUAGAUUAGCAAUAUACUUAAUAAAAUAAACUAAAAUAAUAAAGGCACAAAUAGCUUCUAGUCAAGUGGAACAUACAAGUGGGCUAGUUGCCAUAAUGAGGCAGAAAGGGGCAAAGUAUAGGUUAGGUACUGUUUCAAGCAAAUCAGCUACUGUAGGGGUCGAUUGGUUGGAAAUUGUUAUCCCGGGAUAACUAAUACCGAGAUUAGUUAUCCCAAGAUUACCCGGAAUAACUUAUUCCACCAUGUAUAUGGGAUAAGUUGUCCCAUCACUAAGGGGAAAAUGGUGGAAUAAGUUAUCUCUGGUUGGAUUAAUCCCUCCAACCAAACAAGAGAUUAAGUGUCUUUUAUUUUAUUCCGGGAUAACUCAUCCCUUGAAUUUUUUAUACCUCAAACCAAACGAUCCCUAAGUUAAUAGCUAUGCGAAGUUUCGAUCCCAUAUAUUUUCAAGAAAACUCACGACAUUAGAAUUCUAGUUACAAAAUCCACAGGUAAAUUAAAUUACUACGUCAAUAACAAUGCAUUAUUGAGAACAAACCCAACCAAACGACGUUCUAAAAAAACCUACCAACAAUAUGGAUCAAAAGGGAACAAAAAGGUAAUGAUUUUGUACAUUCAAAAGGUCAUUUACUUGCACUCUAGCUGAAAUCAAUCACAAAUGCCAACUAUUUUACCCUCAUCCAUGGAAACUUAAAAUUCAAAUUUUCAAGACCAACAUAACAGAGACACCGGAUUAUAGAAGAUGGUACCAUGGGAAAAAAGGGACCCUGCAUUAUACACUCAAAUGCAAACGUGAUAGACGGUAGUCAAAAUGAAUUAGCAUCCCGAAAUUGUAGGGUUGGUCGGAUCUUUUCAAAUUAAAAAAAACGAACAUGACAGAGAACUAUUCUUAAAUCGACUUAAAAAAUUCACAUAGAUAGGAGAGUUCAUUCUAAGUUAAAAACAACAUAACCCUGAAUAACAAGGAAUAUAUCGUGUCUUUAGGGUGAUAGGCCCUCCAAUCUUGAAUGGAGACUAAAUGAACCUUGAUAGACCCUCCAAUCUUGAAUGGAGACUAAAUGAACCUCACCGUUUAUAAAUGAAGGAAAACAAUAACUUUGGAUAUUCAUAACAACCCUAUAUUGUUUGAAACAAAGCAAAAGCAGAGAAACAAAGUUUUGCACAUUCCUUCAAACAAACGUGUAUUAAACGGAUGAAAAUUAAACCAGAAUAAUAUCUUAAAUUUAAUUAGCAGGGAACAAACGGAUAUGCCGACAUAAACUUGCAACCAAAAUAAAUCGCAUAUUUAUCAAAAUCAGGCCAAACAAAGGAGAGAAAAAUUUACGAAAAAUUACAGAAACUAGCCUCCAAUAAAUAGCAACACUUUUUUAAAAUUACAACUUAUAGCAAAAGUAGCAAAUUUUUAUGUAUUUUUCAGUUGUGUCUAUGUAUUUAUGAGUAAUACAUAUAUAUUUGUAUAUGUAUUUAUAUAAUAAUAUUUUACUUAAAUAUAAUUUGCUAUUUUUUGUAAUUAUGAAACUGUUGCCGUAAAAGUUAUAAUUAAGGCUGAAAAGUUGCUAUUUAAAAAAUUAUGGGAGGGAAUAAUAGUUUACAUUCAAAACCCGAAAUCAAGAAUGGAGAACAACAGUCCUAAACAGGAUCGACACACAUUCACGCAUAUUUUUGACCCUUUUAAAAAAAUCAAGAUUUAUAUAUACCGCAAUCUCUCAGGAAAAUGACAACAACAAUAUGAACUUCAGAAAAACCCACAUAUCCAUGUUUUCGCAAAACAACCAUAUUCACAAACGCAAUUUAAAGAUGACGACCAACAAUACUAUAACUAAGAUUUCCAUUCACAGUUUUACUAACUUAAACAAAAUACGUGUUUGUUUCCCAAAAACGUCCAAAUGGUCGAUUUACAGAAACUCAGAGUGCAUCGACGAUACCACAAAAAUAGUCUAUGUAUUUAUAAAGCUGAAAUAGACGAGUGAGAAUGAGAUAAACAAAAGAGUAAGGUAGGAGAUUCACACCUUUUUUCGGGCAGCAAACUAAGCCUCAACAUUAAGGAAUUUCCAGCGACGAACUCACUCCCGAGGACACCAAAUUUAAACCCAGUCAGAAAGAAACAGCGACUCUUCCUCUCUUCUUUUUUUUCGACUUUCUCUAACUUAUUUUUCUCCAAUCUCCGACCCUCAGGCUUGUGUUUGCUCUUAUUCUUUCAUUUUCCACCUUUUUUUUUUUGAUACCCAGAUCUCCAGGACUACUUUUUACAAUUUUCAGUCUUUUUCUUGCUCUUCUCUUACUUUCCACUCGUUUUUCCCUUACUUUUCUCUCGAAACCUUUUGCCUCUUUUUCCCGAAUUUCAAGCUUCUUCUUGAGAUGAUCGAAAAAUCCAUAUUUAUAGGUACAAAUCCGGACUUGAAAGUCCGGAUUUGAAACCUUAGAAUAAAAAAUGGGAAGAAGAAAAUAGAAAGAAUUUUUCACAAUCAAAUCUGAAACCUAUUCCAAUCUCAGCUUUUCAGGCUAUUGAUGGGGAUUUUGAAUUUUUUUGCGCCAAAUAGUGUCUGAUUUUUCUGUCACAGUGGAAUCGUCGGAUUUUCGGGAUGGGGGAAAUGGGCCGCGCAGAGGGUGGUUGAAAGUUGUCUGCUAGGGUUUAGGCUUUGGGGGUGGUGGAGGAGAGGGAGGAGGAGAAGAGAGCAGGAGAAAGAGGAAAGAGAGUUAUAUUUUUGACAUUGAUUUGGGUGGAUGACGGUGGUGACUACUCGUUGUUUCUUGAGAAAGGGAAAGCGCGUGCUUCUGCCUUUCUGAUGCAUCAUUCAUUGCACUGGUUGAAGAUUUUGACCAACAUUUGGAC
rnacentral:lncRNA from 1 species